rnacentral:misc_RNA from 1 species
AACAAGGAGAGAGACAUGAACAGCAUUGUUUGGCUUGUCGGAGCGGUCGUUAUCGUUCUC